GGUUGCGAUCAUACCAGCACCAAUGCACCGGAUCCCAUCAGAACUCCGCAGUUAAGCGUGCUUGGGCGAGAUUAGUACUAGGAUGGGUGACCCCCUGGGAAGUCCUCGUGUUGCAACCC
rnacentral:rRNA from 1 species